AAUCAACGCUGGCGGCGUGCCUAACACAUGCAAGUCGAACGGGAAGGGGGCUUCGGCCCCCGGAGAGUGGCGUACGGGUGAGUAACACGUGGGUAAUCUGCCUUUGGGUGGGGAAUAACGUCCCGAAAGGGACGCUAAUACCGCAUAACGCAGCGGCACCGCAUGGUGACAGUUGUUAAAGGGGGGGAUCCUGCAAGGGACCUCUCGCCUGAAGAGGAGCCCGCGCCCGAUUAGCCAGUUGGAGAGGAAUGGCUCACCAAGGCUUCGAUCGGUAGCCGGCCUGAGAGGGCGGUCGGCCACACUGGCACUGAGACACGGGCCAGACUCCUACGGGAGGCAGCAGUGGGGAAUUUUGGGCAAUGGGCGAAAGCCUGA
rnacentral:rRNA from 1 species